ACUACGGGGGGCAGCAGUGGGGAAUAUUGCACAAUGGGGGAAACCCUGAUGCAGCGACGCCGCGUGAGUGAAGAAGUAUUUCGGUAUGUAAAGCUCUAUCAGCAGGGAAGAAAAUGACGGUACCUGAUUAAGAAGCCCCGCCUAACUACGUGCCAGAAGCCGCGGUAAUACGUAGGGGGCAAGCGUUAUCCGGAUUCACUGGGUGGAAAGGGAGCGUAGACGGUGAGGCAAGUCAGAAGUGAAAGCCCGGGGCUUAACUCCGGGACUGCUUUGGAAACUGUGUAACUGGAGUGCAGGAGAGGUAAGCGGAAUUCCUGGUGUAGCGGUGAAAUGCGUAGAUAUCAGGAGGAACACCAGAGGCGAAGGCGGCUUACUGGACUGUAACUGACGUUGAGGCUCGAAAGCGUGGGGAGCAAACAGGAUUAGAUACCCUUGUAGUC
rnacentral:rRNA from 1 species